UACAGAGGGUGCGAGCGUUGUCCGGAUUUACUGGGCGUAAAGAGCGUGUAGGCGGCCAGGCAGGUCUGUUGUGAAAACUGGAGGCUCAACUUCCAGACGUCGACAGAAACCGCUUGGCUAGAGUCCGGAAGAGGAGAGUGGAAUUCCUGGUGUAGCGGUGAAAUGCGCAGAUAUCAGGAAGAACACCGAUGGCGAAGGCAGCUCUCUGGGACGGUACUGACGCUGAGACGCGAAAGCGUGGGGAGCGAACAGG
rnacentral:rRNA from 1 species